UACGGGGGGAGCAAGCGUUGUUCGGAUUUACUGGGCGUAAAGGGCGCGUAGGCGGCGCAACAAGUCACUUGUGAAAUCUCCGGGCUUAACUCGGAGCGGUCAAGUGAUACUGCUCGGCUAGAGUGCGGAAGGGGCAACUGGAAUUCUUGGUGUAGCGGUGAAAUGCGUAGAUAUCAAGAGGAACACCUGCGGCGAAGGCGGGUUGCUGGGCCGACACUGACGCUGAGGCGCGAAAGCUAGGGGAGCGAACGGG
rnacentral:rRNA from 1 species